rnacentral:lncRNA from 1 species
CUUCAUCUGUGCUAACACUCUACCACCUAAUUAGUUGCUCCUAUCAUUGUGUUAGAGUGCGCUUUCUGGUCAUUUCAGCAGCCGCUUACUGCUGAUUUGGUAACUGGAAUGGAGGAAUCCUCUAAAAUUCUAUUGCCUGGUCGUGUUUUAGCAUACCUUGUCGUAGAUACCGUUGGCCCCGUAGUUCUUAUAGGUUAACAAUAUGCUGAACUAUGUCAGUAACUUUAUUGCAGUAAUUGCUAAGUUUAUGCCCCACCCUCACCAACCUCAGGACCUAUGUUUUAAAGGCGUCCCUAAGGCGACGCCUAGGCGACGCCUAGGCGUCAAAGCGCUCCCCCUCCGCUUUGGAAAAUCGACCGCUUUGGGCGCCUAGGCGUCCAAAGCGCCCGCCUAGGCGUCGCCUAGGCGCCAAAGCGCCCCCCCUCCCUAAGGCGGUAAGGCGUCGCCUUAAAAACAUAGCUCAGGACGAACCUUGUUGUUUCCUGUAUAUGCACUGCUAGGAUUGAAUGGAGUUCAGCGUGCUAGACUAUGCCAAAACAUUGUCAGUUAAUGUUUCAGUCCAGAGACGCAGUGCACCACAACAUCUUGGCUCUGUUUAUAGGCUUCAGGCAGUAAAAUGUUUGUAUGAAAGGCUCUGAUCAGUUUCAGCAUUGGUCUAUGAUGUGAAUCGAUGUUCCAUCUGAUGCAAAGGAUGAUGGUGUAGCUUCUUUGGAGUAAUAGUACAUUGCAGAUGUUUAGGGGCAGGAUGGUUGGCAGAAAGAGUAACAAUGUGGUGCUGUUCCUGAUGCAUUUGAGCUAGUUCGUGGUUGGAAGUUCUGGUUGCUAAUGUCUUGGAGAUUGGAAUUAUCCAGAUCGGCAUCAUGAAUUGUUACUCUUUUCUUUGGAUGACCAGGAUCAUAAAUUUGGCAAGUUAAAUUGCUUGCGAUGUUUACAUCAAUCAAGUAAAAACCGUUGUGGUUCCUCUACAAGGCAAGCUGAAGGCCAUUAUGUGCAAGUUUGUCAACUUAAGAUGUUAGAGCUGGCUGAGUUUUUGAAGUAUGGCACAUACCAAUAGUAGCAUAGGAUCCACUGUAGUUGUAUCGCGCAUAUGCAUGCUAUAUUAGGGCAUCUCCAACGCCGGCCCCAAAAUGGACAUUGUAUUUGUUUGUGGACGGAUCCGGACCAUUCCGCGGGCAUUGAUGUCGGAGCCGGCCAUCCAACCCUUCCCCUAAACGUCCGUCUCUGUUUUUUUUUCUAAGUCC